UGCGUAGGCGGUCGGGUAAGUCUGAUGUGAAAUCUCGGAGCUCAACUCCGAAACUGCAUUGGAUACUAUUCGGCUUGAGGUCUGGAGGGGGACUGGAAUUCUCGGUGUAGCAGUGAAAUGCGUAGAUAUCGAGAGGAACACCAGUGGCGAAGGCGAGUCCCUGGACAGGUCCUGACGCUGAGGCACGAAAGCUAGGGGAGCAAACA
rnacentral:rRNA from 1 species